rnacentral:siRNA from 1 species
GUCGAGUGAAUAGCUGGAGCCUU